AGCCUUGUGGUGGAGUGCCCACGUCGGAUUGCAAAUCCGGAGACGCAGAGUAAUACCCUGCCGGGGCUU
rnacentral:tRNA from 1 species